rnacentral:rRNA from 2 species
GACGAACGCUGGCGGCGUGCCUAAUACAUGCAAGUCGAACGAACUCUGGUAUUGAUUGGUGCUUGCAUCAUGAUUUACAUUUGAGUGAGUGGCGAACUGGUGAGUAACACGUGGGAAACCUGCCCAGAAGCGGGGGAUAACACCUGGAAACAGAUGCUAAUACCGCAUAACAGCUUGGACCGCAUGGUCCGAGCUUGAAAGAUGGCUUCGGCUAUCACUUUUGGAUGGUCCCGCGGCGUAUUAGCUAGAUGGUGGGGUAACGGCUCACCAUGGCAAUGAUACGUAGCCGACCUGAGAGGGUAAUCGGCCACAUUGGGACUGAGACACGGCCCAAACUCCUACGGGAGGCAGCAGUAGGGAAUCUUCCACAAUGGACGAAAGUCUGAUGGAGCAACGCCGCGUGAGUGAAGAAGGGUUUCGGCUCGUAAAACUCUGUUGUUAAAGAAGAACAUAUCUGAGAGUAACUGUUCAGGUAUUGACGGUAUUUAACCAGAAAGCCACGGCUAACUACGUGCCAGCAGCCGCGGUAAUACGUAGGUGGCAAGCGUUGUCCUGAUUUAUUGGGCGUAAAGCGAGCGCAGGCGGUUUUUUAAGUCUGAUGUGAAAGCCUUCGGCUCAACCGAAGAAGUGCAUCGGAAACUGGGAAACUUGAGUGCAGAAGAGGACAGUGGAACUCCAUGUGUAGCGGUGAAAUGCGUAGAUAUAUGGAAGAACACCAGUGGCGAAGGCGGCUGUCUGGUCUGUAACUGACGCUGAGGCUCGAAAGUAUGGGUAGCAAACAGGAUUAGAUACCCUGGUAGUCCAUACCGUAAACGAUGAAUGCUAAGUGUUGGAGGGUUUCCGCCCUUCAGUGCUGCAGCUAACGCAUUAAGCAUUCCGCCUGGGGAGUACGGCCGCAAGGCUGAAACUCAAAGGAAUUGACGGGGGCCCGCACAAGCGGUGGAGCAUGUGGUUUAAUUCGAAGCUACGCGAAGAACCUUACCAGGUCUUGACAUACUAUGCAAAUCUAAGAGAUUAGACGUUCCCUUCGGGGACAUGGAUACAGGUGGUGCAUGGUUGUCGUCAGCUCGUGUCGUGAGAUGUUGGGUUAAGUCCCGCAACGAGCGCAACCCUUAUUAUCAGUUGCCAGCAUUAAGUUGGGCACUCUGGUGAGACUGCCGGUGACAAACCGGAGGAAGGUGGGGAUGACGUCAAAUCAUCAUGCCCCUUAUGACCUGGGCUACACACGUGCUACAAUGGAUGGUACAACGAGUUGCGAACUCGCGAGAGUAAGCUAAUCUCUUAAAGCCACUCUCAGUUCGGAUUGUAGGCUGCAACUCGCCUACAUGAAGUCGGAAUCGCUAGUAAUCGCGGAUCAGCAUGCCGCGGUGAAUACGUUCCCGGGCCUUGUACACACCGCCCGUCACACCAUGAGAGUUUGUAACACCCAAAGUCGGUGGGGUAACCUUUUAGGAACCAGCCGCCUAAGGUGGGACAGAUGAUUAGGGUG